AUGCAUUCCACCACCUUCCCCGCAGUAAAACGAAGAUGCAUAUCUCCUUCCCUGCCUCCGGCAACCCGGUGCCCCGCAGUGCGCGAUGCAGGCUCCGGCGCAUACUCCAGGCCAGCCUGGGAGUCGCUGCAAGGAGAUUUGGUUCGAUUGGUCGCGUCGGGCUUGCUGGCAGGAGAUCUACUGGACUACGUCCGCUUCCGCGCCGUCUGCGCGCACUGGCGAUCCGCCACGAUCUGCCCGCGCGGCCGCGGGGUGGUUGAUCCGCGCUUCCAUCCGCGCCGGUGGAUGAUGUUUCCGGAGGACUGUGGCCUUUACCCUGGACAUCCGGAGCUGGGUGGCUACAUCCGCUUCUUUAACCUAGACUCGGGUGCCUUUGUCCGCGUGUCUGCCAUUGUUCAGGAACCACUGUAUUCUCGAUUCGGUCUGUGGCCUCCUCCUCCUCCAGAGGGACAAGGAUGCAGCCAUCCGUCUUCUACACCCUUUCACCCGUGA
rnacentral:rRNA from 1 species